GCCGGCCCCCAGCCGGCGAGCUCGCAGCAGGGACCUGGAGCCGGGAACCCGGAGCCCAGAGCCCAGGGGUCGCGCGGACAGGUUCGGCGGGCGCGGUGGCGCAGGUAAGCAGAAAACAAGAGGCCCCUAAGAAACUGCAGAAACCAUGGCCGUGGAAGGAGAUAAAUAGCACUUGGAGAUGCAGAAAAACAAGGUUUAUUCGGCACCAGUGCAGGCUCAGAGGAGUCACCUCCAGAGUCUGAGCACCGGGUCUUUGUUCUCAGCACCUUUUAUACAAUAUAGGGUCUUGUUUCUCCCAUGCAAGCAAUCCGGAACCUCCUCAUUCCUGGAGCAGACAAUGUUCCUGCCGAAGAAACUGAGCAAGCAAGGUUAUAGAAGCGAAACUGAUGAGCAAUGCUUGGAGCACCGUUAGCAGGGCUGCUGGCUUGAACAUAGGGCACGUAGUUGCUACAUAAUUAUGAGGAGGAUGGACUGAGGCUGAGCAGAACUGAAAAGGCAUGGAAAUGCUUUUUCAGGCAAGGCGGGGGUUAAGUCUCUUAGUUAAAUCUCCCAGUUCACUUCCUUGUGGGGUUCUCCUAUAAGUUUUCCUUACGUACUCUUUAAAAUGCCUUUAGCCUGCUGUGAAGCAGCCUUGGUAUCUUUGCCACUUAGAGAUGUUUUCCACUUGUUUGUAUGUAGUUAGCUUAAAGUACGGAACGAAAUUUAUUUUUCUCUCCCUCCCCCUUCUUCCCAGCAUUUCCCCCUUUUCCUUUUUCUUUUCCUUUCUCCCAUUUUAGGGUCUUCUCCUUUCUCUUGAGUUAUACAUGAUAUUUAAAAAGCUAGCCUAUCUAGCAAGAUCCUUUUUCUCUGAUUAAAACAGCAACAACUGUGUGCUUGUUUGUGUGUGUGGGCUUGCACACACACUUGUGUCUUUUCCACACGUUUGUCUCAUUUACUCCCAAGGUGUAAACUUGGAGACAAGGAAAAGCCAGGAAGCCCUCUGUUAAUUAGUAUAUUGGUCUAUAUGAACAAACUCUUCACUAAAUGUCAAAAAAUAAAGGUGUCAGGCUGCUCUCUAGGGAAAGGUUUUCCUCGGAGUGCUAGGUCGUAACUGAGCUGAUGGCCUUUCAUCAGUAAGUUGUGCCCAAGGCUCUACUUCCUUCCAGUCCUUUACAGCCGUUCAUGGAAACCACCUUAGGAGAGAACACGAUGAAACUAACUGGCCAACAAAAUUUGUUCUUGAACGACCUAGGGCUCAAUCAGGGGACACGUGGCCAAGCUGGCUGGGUGAGUCUCUCCAGUUUGGGGAGCCCACAGGGAGUGUGGGGUGGGGCUUUCAUGGAGCAGGCACAUGGGAGUCGUGGCUGCACCAGUGGGGCAACUAGGCAUGCUCAGAAGCCCUGCAGGUGGGGUCUCUCCAGGUAGCCAGGGUUUUCUGGCAGUGCGGAAGCCCAGAGGAGGAGUGGCCCCCGUUGGCCAUGACCACCCCCAGCAGGCAGAGGAAGAGUUCUGAGGAGGGUAGCAGUCUCCAUCCUUUGGGGCAACAGCGUGUCUGCUUUGGAGAAAGGGUAUCCAAGGGGCAACGACAGUAAUUCCGGAAAGAUGGGCCAGCAUUUGGCCAACACAGUCUGUUCUUGGAAGACCUGGGGUGCAAUCAGGGGACACGCUUGGCCAGGCUGGCCGGAAACCCAGCAGGUGGCUCUGUGGAGGCAUCGCGGGCAUUACAGCUGCCAGGGAAGAGGAGCGGCCAGUGGCAGCCAGGACCAGCACCAGCAGGCAGAGGAAGAGUUCUUGAGGAGGGAAGGGCUCUCCACCCCUUGGAAGGAGAGGGAAAGGAGGAGGAGGAAAAGUGAAGGGGGUGGCACCAGUUCUUCUGGAGAAACUGGCGAUGAGUAGAAGUCAGAUACUCACUUCCUGAACGCCAGGGGGAGGCGACCCGCGGCAAGUGGACUGGGAGACCCCCGCACCCCACCCCGCGCACUGGGGAGGCCUGGCUAUCAGGCUUGAGAGAGGACCCGGGGCGCAGUGGCCAGGGCCACAACCUUGGCCUGGGAAAGUUCUCAGAGGAGGUGUUAAAUCAGACUGUAUCCACCAGUCUACACCGCAGACACAGCAACUUGGGAUCCCACCCAUGUCUGGGACCAAUACCCCCGCUUGUGGCAACACUGGAUCCUUCACCCACGGAGCCAGGCCUGGGAUCAAACCUGCAUCCUGUCAGACACGAUGUCAGGUUCUUACCCCACGGAAUCACCGCAGGAACUUCUCCUUCACCUCAUCAUGAUGGCUGCCUCUGUCAGUUGCUUGUGUGAUUCCCUCCAAUUGUAAAAGUGUUGUGCGCUGCCUCCCUUCCACUGUGAAAAAACCAGCCUGUGCUUGACGCCUGAUGAGAGGACGCCAUCUCUAAAUAGAGGUACUGACUGUGGGGCUCAGACUUCAGUAAGGAAAGGAAACAAAGUGCAUGGAAUUUAUCAAGUUUAAUUUUUCAAAUGUAACCAUUGUCAUAUUAGAACGUAAAUCUUAAAUGAUGAAGUUUAUUUCUAAGCAUACUAUUUAUUUCAAAAGAGGUUUUUUUUUUAAUGAUACAAACAUGGGCAAAAUGUUGCUUUCACCAAUUUACAACUAUUGGGAAUGUAAUUCUAGGAAAAUAAUAUUACUAUUUCCAAGUAAAAGUCUGUAUUGAUGAACUGCAUAUACUUUCAAAGUUAUAAUGCAAUAGUUAUACAGAACAUAAUAUAUACUUGUCAGAUUGUUGCGUAAUAGUUAGCAAAACUGUUUUGAGAAAUGUGGCUUAAGGAAGCUUCAAACUGAGUUUGAAGAUUAGUCUCUUCAGUACAAUAUUUCUUUCACCACAGAUGUGAGAGAACCCAAGCAUUCUGUGAAUAUAGAGAAAGUCCCACAUUUCUUGGUGUGUUCUUGGACCUGAAAUACAUUUAGAUGGUAGAAGAUAACUGGGAAGGAACUCACUUCAGUGCUCAGCAGGUAAAGUCUGAAGAGCCUCCCUGCAACCACCGGCCUCAGCGUAGCUCAGUUGAGGAUCCCUCAGAGGGGAUGGAUGCGACCUGGCAGCUUGGGAGGCCUGAGUGGCAGGGAUGGAGAGGUCGGCUCUAAUACCCAGGCCCACUGCUGGGGAAGGGGCCAUCAGGGCGUGGUGCUUGGUGCUCCUGGUUGGGAAAGGCCCCUUGUAGUGUGGUGGUUCUCAUGACCUCUUCCAGGGCCUGGAGCUCCUUGAACAUCUCCACCAUCUCCUGUUCUUGUUUGGUCUGCUUGACUCUCUCGUUCUCCAGGUCUUGGGCCAGAGAAUCGAGUUCCUCCAUCAAAAUCAGGUUGAUCCUCAGCAUCUCUCUGUGGGUGUUAGUGAGGCCAGGUACAUUGAAUGACUCUGUCUCUAGCCUGGCAUUCUCUAAGGAUGCCUCCACCUCGGCAUGCUCCUUUUGAGCAGCAUGAAUCUUGUCAAUGAGUUGGCAUUUCUCCUCAAUCUGUGCAGCCAGUGUUUUUGCCAGCUGCUGUUCACGUCGCAGGUAAAGUCGACUUCGAACAGACUGAAGCAGUCGCAAUGUAAAGAAGAGACCUACCACGAAGGGGAUGAUAACAGACCUGCACGCCACUGUCUCCCACUGGAGGUUCUGGAUGGUGAACCAGGAACCAAAGCCGCUGGGCAGCAGCAACACCAGCCCCUCCCUCAGCUUCCCAAGGAUCAGCCCGAAGCCAAGCUCCACAGAGGACGGCAGCCCCUCCAUGGCACGGAUCCAGCAAGGGGCUCUGCUCAGUUACCAUGGAUCCACCAGGCACAACGAACCCCAACAUUCCACCUGGAACCCCACCAGCAACUGUCAUCCUGGAUUGGUCAGUUAUCUGCUCAGUGUUGGGGGAGGGUGGCAGGGGAGAGAUGGUAAGUAAAAUGUGAUUCUCCCCCUCCAAAAAAAAAAGUACCUUAUUCUGAAUUCUAAAAUGUUAUUUAUUUAUUUAUUUAUUUUUGGCUUGGUUUGAGUUGUAUUCCGUUUAUGUAUUUAGAGUGUAUUAUAAAACAUAAAAACAUUUACAUUAAAAUCCUAUAU
rnacentral:lncRNA from 1 species